UCCGUGCCCGCCGACGCGGGCCGCGUCUCUGUAUCCUCGGCCAUGCUGCCAGCGGCAGCGAUGCGGUCUGGCGUCGGCGCCGACGGAGUUCCCGUCUUCUUCCUUGCAUCGCGAGCACAGUGCCGGCCUGCCUACGUCGGGGCUGCUCGCCACAUGGCCGACCCGGAGGUGGAGACGCCGCGACCAGGAUUAACCAAAGGAGGAACUUGAAGAAUUGGAGGUAGCAGUGUAUGUCUUGUAAAUAAGCAAGCAAUUCUCCCUGCUCCACAGAAAGCUAUAGCUGAAGAUGAAGAACUUGCUACACUACAAGCUGAAACUUUGCUAUGACCAGGGUGACUAUGAAGAGGAUUGAGAAAGAAAAUAGUAGUACAAACUUGCAAAAUACUCUUUUACAGAGAUCUAGUCCUAAUAAGACUCAAGGUGGAAGGCUAAUUGUUAUUUCUCCAAAUGCGCUCAUACAAGCUGCAACAAAGAAUUCU